rnacentral:pre_miRNA from 1 species
GCUGUUUUCAGGUGGAUGACUUCACAAUUUCAGUACUUGACAAAAUGAAAAAGAAAUUGCACAGUAUCCAUCUGCAAUCCGCC